AAGAAAACACAGCCAAUUCGGGCGGAUAAAAGACUGCAGAAGUGGGUGUUUCUUUUAUGCGGGCCCACCGAUCUCCUUAAAAUCCCAUGACAAAUUCCAGUCUUGUUCCAAGUUCUGUUCUCAUCACUGGUCUCCCAUGCCAAAACUUUUCUCUCUCAGCUUCGCAUACUGAAACAACUCAGUCGACCACCAAACAGUGCAAAGGAAGCAGCAACGUGAAGCUGAGGUGUGUAAAAAGAGGUAGCCAGAGCCACUCUGCUCUCAGAAACAAGGAGGAAGAGGAGGCCCUGCAUCUGACAAGGCCACUUCUGUACUUUUGGCUGGGCAGUGUCCCUCAGCAAGAUAUCCUAUAUCUUCUGAUGAGUUCAGUGAAAUAAUGCACGCUCUCCAAGGAGGAAGAAAGCAGAAAGAGAACCUUCAUGCCUUGGCAUGGUGGCUAUUUCUACGGGGACUGGGCAGGCCACUGCAACAUGCUGGAGUAGAAAGUAGUACCUUACCUGCCCUUGGCAGCUUUUUUUCAUCAAAUUCUAGUUGCUGGUGAAAAAAAAAAUAUUAAUAAAAAAAAAAAAAAAAAUGGUGAUUGCCUUGCAGGGUUCUGGGGAGAGCCUAGCCUUACCGUGCAGCUUGCAGUUUCCAGGUGGCACACCUGGGAAAGUAUCAAGGAGAGCUGCAGUUGAUCAGUAAAUGGUGACCACUCAAAGUAAAGGCCAAAAUCCAAAGGACCAUUUAAGAAAAAUGUUGUCUGAGUAAAAAGCUAAGGCCAUGAGUCUUCAAAGAGCAUUCUGCAUUUCACCUCUCCUCGGAGAGCUUGUCAGGCUAGCCAGGAAAGAUGGAAAGAGCCAGCUAGUCCUUUUGUGUAGAAGACCACACAUCUAACAUGAGUACUCACAAUAUUGAGCUUUUCAAACACCAAAAAGUUUCCCGGUAGUUUUCUGAAGUGGACAAACAAAGUUCUGUUUCUUUGCAGCAUGAUC